GCCACUUGGCUUAAAUGAUACACAAAUAAAAAGGAAGGCUGAGAAUAAUCAAAAAGGAAACCAAAUCUCUGAAGAACAAAGACAGAGGAAUCUGUACGACAGACGUUGGAGAGUCAGAAGGAUGUGCCACCUAGUGGUCUGAAGAAGAUCUAAAUGCUCAUCACGUACCAUUCCCUGGCAAGAACAACCAGUUUCAAGGCUUACGGUCGUACACCUAUAAUCACAGAAAACGAGAAACGAAAAUUCACCUUCCUAAUGCAAAU